GGCUAGAGGCAAAAACAAUACAAGUUUUACGGAAACCAUGCUCCGUCAGUUAUGAAUUUCCGUCACCGUUUUCGAUCAAGAAAACUAUGGAGCACAGCCUUGUGUUUUUUUUUUCUUUAGAACACACAGCCUUGUGUUCGGUGGCAUAUGCCUGGUUGUACUCCACAAAAGUUCCGAAGAAAAUUUACUGGAUUUUGGGUGGUGAACGCUCGAGCUGUAAACUUGAUACUAAAUCCUACCAUGCGGAGAUGUGGUGUAAACCGUCCAUAUGUCCAAAAUAUCAAGUGAAGAAAAAAAAGACGUUGGUAGCAGUUUCACUUUAACCCAAUCGUUUGCUAGAGAGGAUACGAUAUACUAUCAAUUUACCCGUACUCCUUUUGUUAAAAAAAAUAAAUAAAUAAUUUUUCAUCUUAAAAUAAAUAAUUUUAAGUAAACAAAUAAUUUUUUAUCUUAAAAUAAAUAAAUUUAAUUACGGUUUAUUUUGAGAUGGAUGGAGUAGCAAGUAAGUACUCUAUAUGAUGAAGUAAAUUGGUGUGGCACCGCAGAAUCGCCGCCCCGCCGGCCUACCCCUAGACGCACAACAUAUGUGCGACGUGAGAUCACGAAAAUUCCAAAAAUCUUUCCUUCCCCAUAUACCACCCGUAUCGUAUCGGCAGAUCGGUUGGCAAAUUCAUUUCAUCACCGCGACCACACAGCUACAGCUAACCCCCCCGCGCCGUGCGCACCAAAACGCUCGUGUGUGAAGCUAGAGCUCAGUCAAACAGUUUUAGGUCCAUCGAAACAAGUUGGGUGGAGCUCUCUCCACUAAAACUGAGAGUGGAGCUGGAUAGAGCUCUCUCACAAGAUAAACUACUUCAGACUCAACUCCUUAAAUUAAAUUUAGGAGUCUUAUAGCUAUACCAAACAUGCUCUACAGACCAGCAACUCAGCUCUCCGCGAUGCUUGGGCUCUGCUCUGCCCACCCAAACGCGUGCCCCCCACGCACACACGAAUUCGGCGUGAAUUUAGGCACAAGCACCAAGAAAUCGGGGGAAAAAGGUUUGGAAGUAGCAAUGAUGUGAACACAACCCAACAGACAGCUGCUGGUGAUUGAUUUGUCUCGAGCUGAACUGGUGCUAAUCAUGCACGGUACUACUCCAGUAGUGAUUUUUGUACAGCCAGCUGGUACUAAUUUCCUCCUAAACAUAGGGUUGUUGUUAGCAUUUUGUUCUCUCAUCAGCUUCUACCUGCUCUUGAAAUAAAAGUAGGACUGCAAUCUGUUGUA